UUAAAAAAAUGACAUAAAAUGUGCCUAAUUUCUCUUCUCCUUUCCAAUCCAAGCUGAUCAUUACCGCUUCUGACUUUGGUGAACUCAUUCUUGUGAAUCUUACAUUUAAUUGAGGUCCUAAAACACCACGGUGGGAGUUAAUUCCAUUUCUAACACAAAACAUAAAAUCUAAAUGGAUUCCAGAGUGUGAAACAGACUUUUCUGUUCCAAGCUCAUGUAUGGACUUACCACAUCAAGUAAAUCACUUACAGUAGGCGGGAGCAUCAUUUCAAAUCAUCGUUAAUAACGACAAAAGGUACCAUCUCGAGGCUCUAUGCACCAGACACCAUAGUAGACGCUUAAAAUGUCAUCCUUACCACAACAACAGGAAGUAAGAAUUACUCCCUUUUGUAGGGUCACCAUAGAAUCUACUCAGGACGCUUGAGAUGUUGAAUGGAGACGCUAUGCAUAAGUGUGCCAGGACACAAAGCAUAAACCAAGAUUGGCCCUGGCAAAGCAGGGCAUAUGGCACCCUCCUCGUGUUUCAGCUAAAGAAACCCUGACCCGGAGCACCAAGUGCCUUACCAGGUCCCACAGCUUACGAGGUGACAGGACGCAAAGGCAGGUCUGUGUGACUCCAAAAUCCAUGCUCUUUCUAGUGUCUUUGUCUUAAGUACUGGGCACAGUGGGAGGAGGUGGGAGGGCGGAGGGUAGAAGGGGAGGGCGUGAGGGUGUGACUGAUCUGGUUACAUCCACCUGCUUAACCAGGUCAGCCUCACUUCCACAGGCUGCCACCGUCACUGCUUAUUCUGCAACUCCCCAAACUCCAGACCACACAGAGCCCAUGAUGGGACAUAGUCAACCUGUGCUCUCUAAUGAUGGACUUUUCAUGUAAGCUUUCUGGGGGGAAAGAAAGAGAAAAUGAGAAAAGAGCAAACUGAAAGACGCUUGGGGAUAACAAGGGAAUCUAAAGAGAGUCACCAGAGAAACCAGACUAAUGAACGCAGGAGGCUUCCCAGAGGACCCUGGGUUUUGCUGUCCAGGAACCACAAAUAUUCACUUCACUCGACUCCAUGGCCCAGCACCUCCAUUCCGUGAGAGACAUGAUUAUUUCAGCAAUGAAACCUACCAAAUGUUAAAAAUGACUCACAAGGCAGCGAGCGGCAUGGAGAUUGGACUGUGAGAGCUUCGGGAUGGAAAGGGUGACUUUUGGUGGACUCCCCGAUGGCUCCUGGAUGGGUCCAGUCCCCAGAAAGACCAAGCCAUGAUGAGAAGCUCGGAAUUUUCAGCCCUCUCCCACCACCACCGCCCCCCCCCCCCCAUUUUCCAGAAAGGGGAGAGGGCCUGGAUAUGCAGUUAAUAAUUGAUCGUGCCUACGCCCCAAGGUAUGGAGUUAGGAGAGCUUCUAGGUGGGUGAACACAUCCACGUCACUUACUAGGAGGGUGACACAACCCAAUCCACAGGAACAGAAGUUUCUGCGCUCAGGAUUCUCCCAGACCUCACCCUAAGUGCCUCUUCAUCUGGCUGUUCAUCUGUGUGCUUUAGCACAUCCAUUAUUAUAUAGUAAACAGGUAAACAUAAGUAAGUGUUUUCUGGAGUGCUGUGAGCUGUUCUAGGAAACAAUCAAAUCCAAGGCGGAGGACAUCAUGGGAACCUCUGAUGUGUAGCCAAGUCAGACAGAAGGUGUGGGUCACCCGGAGACCUACUACGUGCAGUGCCGUCUGAAGUAGGGGCAGUCUCAGGCAACUGAGCCCUCAGCCCGUGAGAUAGGGUGCUACCUGGAGGUAGAUGGUGUCGGAGAAUUGCUUGGUGCAGAAACCUGGCCGCACCUGGUGUCGGAAGUACUGUGAGUGUGACAGUCGCGUGAGAGAGGAGGAGACACGCUGGAGGACAAGUGCAGGCUUCCUGCUCGGCCACAGCUCUGGAAUCUCACAGUGCCAGGCUGCCGUAGGACAGGGUUUCCUCUGGUGACCGAGUUGUCCGCUCGCAACAGGGUGCUGCCUACAAGACCCUUUGAGUCCCGUGGUCCUGGUGCUGCACUGACAUGGGGCGCAGGCCUUUGGGACCAACUAAUUGCCUAAAUGUGGAAGAGUCAGAAGUGAAUUCCAGGAGAAAAAACACACAUAUAUCCAUUAGCAUCUUACGAUAUUCUCCCGCCUUACAUUACAACAUAAGGUCCGAGCUAUGCUUUUGCAAAUAAACUAUUUACACGUUAUGAA